rnacentral:rRNA from 1 species
GACGAACCGUGCGAACGUUAUUCGGAUUGAUUGGGCUUAAAGGGCGCGUAGGCGGCGCGGCAAGUCGGAGGUGAAAUCCCAGCGGCUCAACCGUGGGACGGCCUCCGAGACAGCCGUGCUCGAGGGGGGUAGGGGCGCGUGGAACUCCCGGUGGAGCGGUGAAAUGUGUUGAGAUCGGGGGGAACGCCGGCGGCGAAAGCGGCGCGCUGGACUCUUACUGACGCUGAGGCGCGAAAGCCAGGGGAGCGAACGGG